CAGAUGAGGGAACUGAGGUGCACAGAGGUAAAGCCACUCAACCAAGGCGUGACAGCUGGCAGCUGGUGGCACUGGCACUUGAACCCACGUGGUCUGAACUCCAUACCACUUCAUGGUUCCUAGGUGACUCUGCUGCUGGUGGUCUGGGGGCCACACCUUGGGAACUGAGCAGGAAGAAAACAAUUAUGAGAUCGUAUGUCGACUCGCACAAGAUGUGAAUCUGCAGCAGAAGCCAAAAUGACCGGAGCUAUUUCUAGCACCCUCAUUAAAAACACUGAAGUUGCCUACAUCAGCACCUCUGGACCCCAGGGAUGUGCCCUAGAGAAACUCCUGCCCAUUGCCCGAGGAGACUCAGACAAGGAGUGUUCACCACGAAGUCAGAUUCCUUCCCUGUUGAUGGUGAUGAUGAUAAUGGUAAUGAUGGUACCAAUAAGAGUGGCUCUCACUUCCAAGUGUGCUUGGGAAGUCACUUCUGAGACUUGGGAAGGUCACUUUGGCAAGUACUUUACACCGAGUAACCCAUCUAAUCUUCCCACUUCCCAAAAAGCCUAAGAAGGAGGUUCUAUUGUUGGCCCAGGGUUGCCACUGAGGAAACAGGCUCAGAGAAUGUGGAUCAGGGUCUACAGCUUUGACUAUGACCCUGGAGUGAGACAUUAAAUCCUCUGCCAUUCUUCAUUUUAAAAUCAGGAGAUGAACCCAGUUACUUCCCACUGCAGUCCCUCCCCCCCAACCCACUUCC